UAAUGGCUUAUUAGUUAUAAGAGUGCUUUUAAACGAAACGUUAUUUGAUACGUAAAAUAUUUAUCUUUGAAUUAAAUGAUAAAUGAAUAAUUAUAGAAACAUGUUGUCAGUAUUUAAGAAUAUUUAAAGUUUAUGAUAAACAUAAGACUGACUCCCUCUAUGUAUUCUACGAUCAACGCGUGCAGUAGUAAAAUGGCUGCCGUAAAACGUCAAUACAUUUUAUAUCAAUAACAGCGUACUUUUGUAAAUAAUCGUGGUAAGGAGGAUUGCAAUAAAACGAAUGCCGUUCAAUUAAUAUUUUUAGUUUUUUUUUCAUAGUCGUGUGUAUGAAGGAGUGCGUGUGAACGGAAAAUGGCAGAAUUUGUGCGUGGAGGUCCGAGCGUGUCGAACAGUGCUAAGAUGGAUCACAAUAGUAAAGGAGGUUCUCCUAGCACUGGAAGUGAAGAUGGUGGACAGAAUGAAUCUAUGAAUGCAGAAAAUGAAUUUGAUCCUUUUCUUGAAAAUAUACCAGAUGAUAUUCAAGAUACAGAAGAACCUGAUAGUGCUAAUGCAACAUUAUUAACAGCUCCACCAGAAAAUCAAUGGUAUCAUGGUAGAUUAGAUAGAUUUACUGCCGAAGAAAGACUAUGGGAUGCAAGUAAAAUGGGCAGUUAUUUAGUGCGUGAAAGUGACAGAAAACCUGGAAGUUAUGUAUUAUCCUAUUUAGGCAGAACUGGCAUUAAUCAUUUUAGAAUUACAGCUGUGUGUGGAGAUUAUUAUAUUGGAGGUAGACAGUUCAAUAGCUUAUCAGAUCUUGUUGCAUAUUAUACUCAUUGCUCCGAUCUUUUAAAGAGGGAAAGACUUAUUCAUCCUACUCCACCUCCUGAACCAGUGAAUGAUAAGAAGCGAAUAGUUGCAAUACUGCCAUAUACAAAAAUGCCUGAUACAGAUGAAUUAAGUUUUCAAAAGGGUGACAUAUUUUUUGUGCACAAUGAUAUGGGAGAUGGUUGGUUAUGGGUUACUGCACAUAGAACUGGUGAACAAGGCUUAAUUUUUCGUGAAUUGGUGGAGGAUCUGGAUGAUUCCAUUGAUCCUAAUACUGUGUUCUCUUGGUUUCAUCCUAAUGUUACUAAAAGUGAAGCUGUCGACAUGUUGGUGAAGGCAGGACCUGGUAGUUUCUUGGUCAGACCUUCAGAUAAUAGUCCUGGAGAUUAUUCACUUUUCUUUCAUAUAAACAAUCAAAUUCAAAGAUUUAGAAUUGAAAAAAAGGGAGUACGUUAUCUUAUGGGUGGUAGAACUUUUGAAUGUCUUGAUGCUGUUAUAAAUAGAUAUCGGAAAGAGCAAAUAGUUGAGGGUCAUACUUUAGUUCAAGCAAUGGUAACAGAACCUGAUGGUAGUGUAAGAGUUAAUAGAGAAGUGCAACACGCGGAAAAAAUAUAUGCAACUCUUAGAGAAUGUCGGGAACAAUCUGGAGCAAAGAAAAAUAAAGGAAUUAAAAUGCAAGGAUAUUUAGAAAAAAAAUCAGAAAAAAAUAAAAAAUGGAAAGCAUUGUAUUUUGUACUUUUAGUGGAUGCAACUGACACUCAUUUGUAUUUGUAUGACAAUCCAAAAAGGACCAAACCUAAAGGUCUUAUCGAUUUAAGCUGUGCUUAUUUAUAUCAGGUUCAUGAAAGCGUGUUCGAUAGACCUCAUUGCUUUCAAUUAGUUGAACGUGCUUUACCAUGUUUGGCAACAAUAACAUAUUUGGCUGCUCCAAAUUCAGAGAAUGCUUUAGACUGGAUUAAUGCCUUAAAACCAUUAUGUGUAUCACAACUUACUCGUGCUCCAAAAGUUGCUCGUCUACGUGAAUUACGUUCAUUACAUCUGCAUAUUUUAGAUGCUCAUAGACUUCCAUAUAAACUAGUACCGAAUCCAUUCAUCAUAGUGGCUCUAAACAAUGUAAAAGUUGCUCGCACAAAAGUCAAAACAGGAUUACAUCCAAUUUGGGAUGAAGAAUUCAUUUUAGAGGAUGUGCCACCAGAUGUUAUGUCGUUUUCUUUAACAUUGUACAAUAAAGGAAAACGUAGUAAAGAUACCGAAGUGGCAGAAUUGACCGUUGAAUUGGCGAGUUUAACUAAUGGGGAAGAAAUGGAUGAAUGGUAUCCAUUGUCAGGCCUUACUCCAAUAGGCGAAUGGGGUGUACUUCGUUUACGGAUAAGGUAUCGGCACGAUCUAGCAAUGCCUCCGGAAGAAUAUAGUCCAUUGCAACAACUAUUAUUAGAUCCAGAACUGCAUGUUGUUAGAGCAUUAGCAGAUGUUUGUCAUUUGGAUAGAGUACCAUUGGCAAAUAGUUUACUUAGAAUAUUUAGGUAUAUAAAAAAAGAAGCAGAUCUUCUGAGAUCGUUAAAUCAAGCGGAAGUGGAUAAGGAAGAUGAAACACCAACACUUUUUAGAGCUGCUAGUCUUACAACUACGUUAAUGGAUUUAUAUAUGAAAUCAGUUUGUACCUCUUUUUUGAAAGCCGCUUUACGCGAUACCAUAGUGAAAUUAAUUGAAAGUAAACAGAGCUGUGAAUUAAAUCCAACAAAAAUGGAUUCUCCGGAAGAUGCGUGCAGCAAUGCAGAAUUUCUAUUACAAGUUUUAGAUGAAGUGACAUUAAGCAUUUUUACGAGUCCUGAUGCAUGUCCAAGGACAUUGAGAUAUAUUUGUGGAUGUUUACAAAGAGCAGUUGUUGCCAAAUGGCCACAUGAAAGACUAGUCAGAACACGAGUAGUCAGUGGAUUUAUAUUUUUACGUCUACUUUGCCCUGCCAUAUUAAAUCCUAGAUCAUUUAAUUUAAUAGCUGAACCGCCACCUCCAGCUGCUGCAAGGUAGGAUCACUGGUAAUGGUUGCAAAAUGUUUGCAAAAUUUGGCUAAUUUGGUAGAAUUUGGUGGUAAAGAACCAUAUAUGGAAGUAGUUAAUCCAUUUAUUCUUAAAAAUAAAGAAAGAAUGGUCGUAUUUUUGGAUCAAUUAUCUAAUGUAACUGAAAAACCAGAAUCUGAAGGUGCAGAUCCGAGAAAUAGAAGUUAUGUUUCGGAUACAGCGAGAGAUUUAGCAACACUGCAUCAUAUUUGUGUUUCUCAUUUAAAAGAACUUCAAGUUUUAUCAAAAACUCAG
rnacentral:misc_RNA from 1 species